rnacentral:rRNA from 1 species
UACGAGUGCCUCAAGCGUUAUCCGGAAUCAUUGGGCGUAAAGGUUGUGUAGGUGGUUGUAUUAGUCUCAUGUUAAAUUCUUCGGCUUAACCGGGGGCAUGCACGGGAAACGGUACAACUAGAGGAUGCGAGGGGUCUGUGGAAUUCAUAGUGUAGCGGUAAAAUGCGUUGAUAUUAUGGAGAACACCAAAAGCGAAGGCAGCAGACUGGAGCACUCCUGACACUGAAACAAGAAAGCGUGGGUCGCGAAUGGG